AUGGGAGCCUGCUCCCUGAAGUCAGCGGCGGACGGGUGAGUAACACGUGGGCAACCUGCCUGUAAGACUGGGAUAACUUCGGGAAACCGGAGCUAAUACCGGAUAGGUUCUUCCCUCGCAUGAGGGAAGAUGGAAAGACGGUUUCGGCUGUCACUUACAGAUGGGCCCGCGGCGCAUUAGCUAGUUGGUGGGGUAAUAGCCCACCAAGGCGACGAUGCGUAGCCGACCUGAGAGGGUGAUCGGCCACACUGGGACUGAGACACGGCCCAGACUCCUACGGGAGGCAGCAGUAGAGAAUCUUCCGCAAUGGACGAAAGUCUGACGGAGCAACGCCGCGUGAGCGAAGAAGGCCUUCGGGUCGUAAAGCUCUGUUGUCAGGGAAGAACAAGUGCCAGAGUAGCUGCUGGCACCUUGACGGUACCUGACCAGAAAGCCAUGGCUAACUACGUGCCAGCAGCCGCGGUAAUACGUAGGUGGCAAGCGUUGUCCGGAAUUAUUGGGCGUAAAGCGCGCGCAGGCGGUCCUUUAAGUCUGAUGUGAAAGCCCACGGCUCAACCGUGGAGGGUCAUUGGAAACUGGGGGACUUGAGUGCAGAAGAGGAGAGUGGAAUUCCACGUGUAGCGGUGAAAUGCGUAGAGAUGUGGAGGAACACCAGUGGCGAAGGCGACUCUCUGGUCUGUAACUGACGCUGAGGCGCGAAAGCGUGGGGAGCGAACAGGAUUAGAUACCCUGGUAGUCCACGCCGUAAACGAUGAGUGCUAAGUGUUAGAGGGUUUCCGCCCUUUAGUGCUGCAGCA
rnacentral:rRNA from 1 species